GACGAACGCUGGCGGCGUGCCUAAUACAUGCAAGUCGAGCGGACCAAAGGGAGCUUGCUCCUGGAGGUUAGCGGCGAACGGGUGAGUAACACGUGGGCAACCUGCCUGUAAGACUGGGAUAACAUCGAGAAAUCGGUGCUAAUACCGGAUAAUAAAAAGAACUGCAUGGUUCUUUUUUGAAAGAUGGUUUCGGCUAUCACUUACAGAUGGGCCCGCGGCGCAUUAGCUAGUUGGUGGGGUAACGGCUCACCAAGGCGGCGAUGCGUAGCCGACCUGAGAGGGUGAUCGGCCACACUGGGACUGAGACACGGCCCAGACUCCUACGGGAGGCAGCAGUAGGGAAUCUUCCGCAAUGGACGAAAGUCUGACGGAGCAACGCCGCGUGAGUGAUGAAGGUUUUCGGAUCGUAAAACUCUGUUGUUAGGGAAGAACAAGUGCCGUUCGAAAGGGCGGCACCUUGACGGUACCUAACGAGAAAGCCACGGCUAACUACGUGCCAGCAGCCGCGGUAAAGUAUCG
rnacentral:rRNA from 1 species